rnacentral:rRNA from 1 species
UACGUAGGCAGCGAGCGUUGUUCGGAUUUACUGGGCGUAAAGCGCGUGUAGGCUGCUUCGCAAGUCGGAUGUGAAAGCCCUGGGCUCAACCCAGGAAGUGCAUUCGAAACUGCAGAGCUGGAGUCCUGGAGAGGAAGGCGGAAUUCUCGGUGUAGAGGUGAAAUUCGUAGAUAUCGAGAGGAACACCGGUGGCGAAGGCGGCCUUCUGGACAGUGACUGACGCUGAGACGCGAAAGCGUGGGGAGCAAACAGG